UUACGGUCAAAUCAAGCUGAUGCACCGUUUCUCGUACGAUCACCGAAGUUAAGCAACAUUGAGUCUGAUCAGUACAUAAAUGGGUGACCGCUCGGGUAAUACCCGGUGCUGUAA